AUUCAAGGUCUUCUCCUUGAGCCUAAUCCCAACAGCUGUCCAUGCUCAGACACUAGCUGUAUUUUAGGGAUUCCACCACUCGGCAGGCACUCACAUUUCCCUUGAAGUACUCCCUGGGUUUGUCUUUACAGGCUUGUAUUGGAGGGUGGGUUUUUACAGUACUACAUUGGUAUUUUUAUUGUGUUUAUUAUUAAUUGUUAGUCAGUGCCCCCAACCACCUCAGAAACGGGCUGCUUCAUCAAUAAGCUUAUUAACUAACCUAUAACAGUGCUUUCAUUCAAAGUUGCUUCCCUUCUGCAUUGAAGGAUUAGCCAGCAAACUCAGCAUGACAUGUCACUCGUAUUUCUCCCUGAGAUUCUUUCCAUGGUCAGGCCCAUUGGAGAAUCUUCUGUGAGGUUCAGCCAAAAGAGGGAUGAUGCCAUGGAAUGGCUGAGCCUGCCUUGUGCACAGUUGGGAGAAGAUUCUUGUGCAAAGUCGUUUCCUUGGGCAGAUCUUGGAAGGAUGAUGGGCCCUGCCAACUGUUAGGCGCUCCAUGUGAAGAACUGCACACAAGAUUUUACCGGCACCGCACAACAACAACAACUUUUAUGGGUCCUACAAAAUGCAGGAAGCAGCCUACAUUCUUGACCACCGUCUGCUGCCACCGUGUCUACUAGCUUACAGUUCACAUAGCUACAGCCAUCUCUAGUAACACCAACUGCCCAGCUCCUGCCACUGUAUCCUUCAAUCUCCCAUUAAUGCAAAUAAGAAUGGCCAUAGACAAGCAAAAACAUUGUUCAUUCCAUGCAGAAU